GUCGGUUUGGUGUAGUGUUUGCACGCUGAUUUUUCGUGUCAGAGGGGGUUUUGUGACUGUCCGAUU